GAUGAACGCUGGCGGCGUGCCUAAUACAUGCAAGUCGAGCGAACAGACGCGGCGCUUGCUCCUCUGACGUUAGCGGCGGACGGGUGAGUAACACGUGGAUCACCUCCCUAUCAGACUGGGAUCACUUCGGGAAACCGGCGCUAAUACCGGAUAAUAUAUUGCACCGCAUGGUUCAAUAGUGAAAGACGGUUUUGCUGUCACUUAUAGCUGGAUCCGCGCCGCAUUAGCUAGUUGGUAAGGUAACGGCUUACCACGGCAACGAUGCGUAGCCGACCUGAGAGGGUGAUCGGCCACACUGGAACUGAGACACGGUCCAGACUCCUACGGGAGGCAGCAGUAGGGAAUCUUCCGCAAUGGGCGAAAGCCUGACGGAGCAACGCCGCGUGAGUGAUGAAGGUCUUCGGAUCGUAAAACUCUGUUAUUAGGGAAGAACAAAUGUGUAAGUAACUAUGCACGUCUUGACGGUACCUAAUCAGAAAGCCACGGCUAACUACGUG
rnacentral:rRNA from 1 species